UACGAAGGGGGGUAGCGUUGUUCGGAAUUACUGGGCGUAAAGCGCGUGUAGGCGGAUAUGCAAGCUAGGGGUGAAAGCCCGGGGCUCAACCUCGGAACUGCCUUUAGAACUGCAUAUCUGGAGUAUUGGAGGGGAGUGCGGAAUUCCUAAUGUAGAGGUGAAAUUCGUAGAUAUUAGGAGGAACACCGGUGGCGAAGGCGGCACUCUGGACAAUUACUGACGCUGAGACGCGAAAGCGUGGGGAGCAAACAGG
rnacentral:rRNA from 1 species